GAUGAACGCUGGCGGCGUGCCUAAUACAUGCAAGUCGAGCGAACAGACGAGGAGCUUGCUCCUCUGACGUUAGCGGCGGACGGGUGAGUAACACGUGGAUAACCUACCUAUAAGACUGGGAUAACUUCGGGAAACCGGAGCUAAUACCGGAUAAUAUAUUGAACCGCAUGGUUCAAUAGUGAAAGACGGUUUUGCUGUCACUUAUAGAUGGAUCCGCGCCGCAUUAGCUAGUUGGUAAGGUAACGGCUUACCAAGGCGACGAUGCGUAGCCGACCUGAGAGGGUGAUGGGCCACACUGGAACUGAGACACGGUCCAGACUCCUACGGGAGGCAGCAGUAGGGAAUCUUCCGCAAUGGGCGAAAGCCUGACGGAGCAACGCCGCGUGAGUGAUGAAGGUCCUCGGAUCGUAAAACUCUGUUAUUAGGGAAGAACAAAUGUGUAAGUAACUAUGCACGUCUUGACGGUACCUAAUCAGAAAGCCACGGCUAACUACGUG
rnacentral:rRNA from 1 species